rnacentral:rRNA from 1 species
UGGAAACUNUCUGACUUGAGUGCAGAAGGGGAGAGUGGAAUUCCAUGUGUAGCGGUGAAAUGCGUAGAUAUAUGGAGGANCACCAGUGGCGAAAGCGGCUCUCUGGUCUGUCACUGACGCUGAGGCUCGAAAGCGUGGGUAGCGAACAGGAUUAGAUACCCUGGUAGUNCACGCCGUAAACGAUGAGUGCUAGGUGUUAGGCCCUUUCCGGGGCUUAGUGCCGGAGCUAACGCAAUAAGCACUCCGCCUGGGGAGUACGACCGCAAGGUUGAAACUCAAAGGAAUUGACGGGGGCCCGCACAAGCGGUGGAGCAUGUGGUUUAAUUCGAAGCAACGCGAAGAACCUUACCAGGUCUUGACAUCCCGAUGCUAUUCUUAGAGAUAGGAAGUUACUUCGGUACAUCGGAGACAGGUGGUGCAUGGUUGUCGUCAGCUCGUGUCGUGAGAUGUUGGGUUAAGUCCCGCAACGAGCGCAACCCUUAUUGUUAGUUGCCAUCAUUAAGUUGGGCACUCUAGCGAGACUGCCGGUAAUAAACCGGAGGAAGGUGGGGAUGACGUCAAAUCAUCAUGCCCCUUAUGACCUGGGCUACACACGUGCUACAAUGGUCGGUACAACGAGUUGCGAGCCGGUGACGGCAAGCUAAUCUCUGAUAGCCGAUCUCAGCUCGGAUUGGAGGCUGCAACUCGCCUCCAUGAAGUCGGAAUCGCUAGUAAUCGCGGAUCAGCACGCCGCGGUGAAUACGUUCCCGGGCCUUGUACACACCGCCCGUCACACCACGAGGGUUUGUAACACCCGAAGUCGGUGUGGUAACCUUUUAGGGGCCAGCCGCC